rnacentral:lncRNA from 1 species
UUUGGGCUGCCUCUCUAAAGACGAUAUUGAUCUUUGCCUAUCAUUAAUUACGACUCAUCCAACCAUUGCACCAACAAUCCUUACUUUGGCUAUAACAACAUUGUUUUAGAGGUGGUGGACAACCUCAACUUCUUGACUUAUGAGUCUUAGCAUGCUAGGGUAGUUUGUUGAUGGUUCGCCGGUUUAGUGAAAUUUGUAGUACGACAUUUUCUGAACUCCUUUAUGUCUUUCCUGCUUUCUGCCCG